CAGUCGCCGCGGUAAUACGUAGGGGGCGAGCGUUGCCCGAAGUUACUGGGCGUAAAGCGCGCGUAGGCGGCUUCUUAAGUCUGAGGUGAAAGGUUCAACGCUUAACGUGGACAGUGCCUUGGAUACUGGGGAGCUUGAGUAUGGGAGAGGGCAGUGGAAUGGCUGGUGUAGCGGUGAAAUGCGUAGAUAUCAGUCGGAACACCCAUGGCGAAGGCAGCUGCCUGGCCUAAUACUGACGCUGAGGUGCGAAAGCGUGGGGAGCGAACGGGAUUAGAUACCCCCGUAGUCCCUGUCUCUUAUA
rnacentral:rRNA from 1 species